AACAAGCUUCUUUUAAUUUCCAUCUACCAAAUCCACUCACAGGGCUCUAACCACCCUGAGACUAUUGUAGUAGAAACACUUACCCAAGGUGCCAUGAAGUGAGACUGAACCCAGGACGAUGUAGUUAAGAACCAAGCUUUUUACCACACAAUCACACCUGUGACUAUAUAUAUUAUAUUUAGUGAACCUUUAAGUGGCCCAUUCUGAAUUGCAUUUAUUUGAAUUUUGAGAAAAUUUUUUAAUUGAAAUAAAAAAAAAGAGUCAAAAUCUAUUCAGAAAUAUUUAUUAUCAGAAAAACCGAAAAACCAAAAAAAAAAACAGAAAGAUAUGUACAACUCUACACAUCUGUUAUAAGUACCUCAUUUGUAGAAGGUAAAGAUUCAUCAUUAUAAACAGCUGUUGUCAAGGUAUGGAAAGCAUGGAUUGCUACCUGGUUCACACGGUUCUCUCUCUCUGCUUUACCAUUUGGCAUAUCUCGGAAAAAGUUCUCAAUCAAAGCAUCUUCAAGUUGAUCUUUCCGUUCGGAUUUGAGGUAUUUGAUAAUCAUGAUAAUUAUAGCAGCAGAAUAGAACACCAAGACUGCUACUAUAUAUAUUAAUGCCCCGCUAUCAGAUGCUGGGCCUGUCCUGUGCACAGUUGGAUAUUUCCUACUGAAAUUUUCUGGAGGAAACUGUACUGUUCGGAAAGUCUGAUUAGGAAAACCUCUGCACAACAAAGCCAACAUACUUGAGGUACUGUUUUGAAUAACCAUUUUUUAUUGAUGGUAUUGAUUGGGGAUUAAGAUGAAUAUUAAGAUGCUAAUUAUAAUGAUGGUAACAUAUACUGUUAAUCACCGAGGAUGUAUAUUUUCAUUUGUGAACUUCAUACAAAAUUACAUUUUGUAAAUUGUAUUAAAUUACACUAAGCUUGAAGCACUGAUGAUUGUUAGGAAUGAAAAGCAUUUCAGUUCAAGUGAUGCCUUGUUGGUUGUAGACGGCCAGUCUCCAAAGUAGAACAUAUGCAAGUUCUGUUAUAUCUCAUAAGUUCUGUCAAAGAGUAUUGUUAGAAAUCUUUCAUAUUUAUUGUUUGAAAAUGGAAAAUAAAUCCUGCUGAAUGAGUGACACCAUAACUGCAACCAUUCUUGUAAACACCUUGAAAAUAUCCCAAUAAAAGUCAUUGCUUCAAUGUUUUUCUCAAAAUUUCUUAUCUCAGU